AUUCAGCUGAAGAGUCUCAAAUAGUAUGAAACGUGCGUCCUGGAC
rfam:Schistosoma haematobium scaffold40_27, whole genome shotgun sequence.